rnacentral:rRNA from 1 species
AGUGGUGGUGGUGGUGGUGGUGGUGGUGUGCCGCCGCCGCCGCCGCCGAAACUACUUUUUGCUGCUGUUGCGUUGCUACAAUCUUGGUGUUUUUGUUCUGUGCAGUUGUCGUAUGUUUUCGAAAGGGAAUCCGGUUGAUAUUCCGGAACCGAGUAACGGAGACAAAGAGUAGCGCUUUAAUCUCUUUCGGGUUGGCGUUCAACUCAAUCGCGCGGUAACGCAAGCGAACUCGGAAAAUGACCGUCGUGAGUUUCGAAAAGAGUUUUCUUUUCUUUUUAAGGGACGCAUUCCCUGGAACCGGGUUGUCCGGAGAUAGGGAUUCUGGUAUCCAUAAAACGCCGACUCUUUCACGGUGUUCGGAGCGCUCUCGUCGGUACGUGAAAAUCCGAGCGACGCCUGGUAAAUCUCGUACUUGGUCGUACUGAUAUCCGCAGCAGGUCUCCAAGGUGAAUAGCCUCUGGCCGAUAGAAUAAUGUAGGUAAGGGAAGUCGGCAAAACGGAUCCGUAACUUCGGAACAAGGAUUGGCUCUAAGGGCUGGGCCGAUCGGGCUGAGGUUUCAAGCGUGCAGUGUAUGCUUGGCUGAGUUGUGUUGAGGAUUGAUUCGCUUGGUGCCGUUUGUUGAACCAAUCGGCUAUCCAGGUGGUCAUGUCUGAAGCAAAGCUGGCCGACAGACCGGCACGUGCAGAACCUGAGCUGCGCGGCUGUCAGUUCAUUUGUACAGACCGUUUCGGUCGGCAUUCAACAGCCAACUUAGAACUGGCACGGACACAAGGAAUCUGACUGUAUAAUUAAAACAAAGCAUUGCGAUGGCCGAUGAUCGGUGUUGACGCAAUGUGAUUUCUGCCCAGUGCUCUGAAUGUCAAAGUGAAGAAAUUCAAUCAAGCGCGGGUAAACGGCGGCGACAAAACGUUGUCAACAAUCGGGCUCAAAGUCACACGCAGGAUGAAAGAACGCCUUAGCUGGUUGACAUUUGAACAUUCAAUCAGAAUUUACAACACCAUGAGAAACUGAUUGCUCAGUAUGUUCCGUUCAGUUACUGUCUACUUAUCACUGUUAAACAUGUUAACUAUUACUGUUGAUUUAUUGUUACCACGUUCGUUGUUUUCUAAGCACUCUGUUACCAUCGCUUUUACAUUUCAUUAUUACGGUAUUAUUAUUCCUUCUGCCUGCAAUUUCCAUCGUUGUUGCUUUUUUCUUGUUUUUAUUGCUUCGUUGUGCUUGUUUGUUUGUUUGUUAUUGUUCUUGUUUGGCCUAGGAUAUCGAUAAUCACACGCACCGCGGAACUGGACCGUAUAAGCCAGAAAUAUUAAAGUAACAAUAGCCAAAUGCCUAGUCAUUUAAUUAGUGACGCGUAUGAAUGGAUCAACAAGAUUCCUUCUGUCCCUAUCUACUAUCUAGCGAAACCACAGCCAAGGGAACGGGCUUGGCAAAAUCAGCGGGGAAAGAAGACCCUGUUGAGCUUGACUCUAGUCUGACUCUGUGAAGAGACAUGAAAGGUGUAGCAUAGGUGGGAGGCUGCAGUAGGGCGCUGUUUGGUGUCUUUGUGGUCGCCAAUGAAAUACCACUACUUUGAUCGUUUCUUUACUUAUUCGGUAAAGCGAAAAAAUUGUGGCCAAUUUGGCGGUCUGUCCGCUGUUGGUCAUUGUUUUAAUGUUGGAUUGAAGCUUUGUUUAUAGCCGUCGCUUUGCGUCGCCGUUUGAUGCAUUGGCUGGGUGCGUUUUUGCGCGCGCGCGGUAAUGUUGUCAGCGGAUGAUCGGCGAUUGGUUUGAAGUGAUUCGCUCCGGAAACAGUGUCAGACGGGGAGUUUGACUGGGGCGGUACAUCUGUUAAACGAUAACGCAGGUGUCCUAAGGUAAGCUCAGCGAGGACAGAAACCUCGCCUAGAGUAAACGGGCACAAGCUUACUUGAUUUUGAUUUCCAGUACGAAUAAAAACCGCGAAAGCGUGGCCUAUCGAUCCUUUUGAUUGUGUAGAUUUCAUGCAAGAGGUGUCAGAAAAGUUACCACAGGGAUAACUGGCUUGUGGCAGCCAAGCGUCCAUAGCGACGUUGCUUUUUGAUCCUUCGAUGUCGGCUCUUCCUAUCAUUGCGAAGCAGAAUUCGCCAAGCGUUGGAUUGUUCACCCACCAAUAGGGAACGUGAGCUGGGUUUAGACCGUCGUGAGACAGGUUAGUUUUACCCUACUGAUGACAAGUCGUUGCGAUAGUAAUCCUGCUCAGUACGAGAGGAACCGCGGGAUCAGACAUUUGGUUCAUGCGCUCGGCUGAAAGGCCGGUGGCGCGAAGCUAGCAUCUGCAAGAUUAUGACUGAACGCCUCUAAGUCAGAAUCUUUUCUAGUCAUUGGCAACGAUAAGUUGCGUCCGGACUCGAUGCGAGGAAACGAUUAGGCUUUGCUGUGUUUUGCGCAGCGAAGCCGUCAUCAUACCACGGUAGCAGGCAGUUGGGAUGGUUACGAAAAAGCAAUUUUUUGAAGUCAGUUGAAUUCAAUCAAACUGCUAACAAUCCCACUGCGAAUGACUACACUCGAAUCU